CGCGAGAUCGUGACCUGAGCUGAAGUCGGACACUUAACCGACUGAGCCAUCCAGGCGCCCCCAAAAUGUAUCUUUAAGGAUGUUAUGGGAAGAAGCAUAAAUUCUCUCUUUGACCCUUCUUAGCUUGAACUGCCCAGCGGAGCAGGCUCUAGCCUGAGGCAGCCGAAAGUCUUACCAUUGUGCCUGUAGGGUGAGGCCUGAGGGGACACUAGGAGGACACCAAGAGCAUCGGCUUCUCUUUCAAACAAGAGGGCAGAGGAGCUGGCCCCCUUCCUUGUGUAACACAAACGUAUGCCAGAGAGUGGAGGCCACUCUUUAAAUGUUCUGUGAAAAUGCACAGGGAAGGAAGUUCUGCAGAACUGGAAACAUUGGAACAUGAACCAUAGUGGUGAGCAGUGUGGAGACAGAGCAGCCUACAUGAGGCCUGGAGCUGGCCUUAUGCCUGUUGUGAGCUGAGAGUUCAGGCCGGUGUGGGACACGGUGGAGGUCACAGGCCUUUCUGAAAUGGGAGUUGGAACCAGUCAUGACAGCACAAGUUAGGAAGGGGCUGUCCACUCUAUGCAGGGGACUUGGAGACUCUGCCCACCAGCCUGGUGGUGGAGCUCAGAGAGCAGCCAUCCCAGACUGGGACAGGACAGAGAGUUCUAGGAAAAUGCAGAACCAAUGGAAUAUAGGAUGCAUUCUACUAGAUCAAAAACUGUACGGAGUGCCUGUCGGAAGAGGUAGGAGGCAUUAGCUAUAGGUACAGAGGAAACUCAGCAGGUGAAAACAUAAAGGCAAAUGUUAACUCCAGGAAAAACAAAGAAAACAAUCUAAACAGAGUUCACUACUUGGCCCAGCAGUGAAUAGUAUUUACAUAAUUAUAAUAGUGCAAACAACAGUAACAAAAAAAAAAAAAAAUGAAAUAGUUCACUUGGGAAGGUGAAAGAAAAGAAAGACUGGGAGCUGAGGGUGCUGGUGAGAGCUCCUUCAGUGACAUCUCAUAAUGUCUAAAUCUGGUUUCAAAAAAAAAGCAAGGGCAUGUAAUUUAAAAAUGUGGAGAAACAUCAGACAAGAAACAGCUGAAAGAAUUGAGAGAGGCUGACACCAGACCCUUGGACCCAGGGUCCAGAGUGGGACUCGGGGACCACUACGGACUUGUUGAAAGUGGCCUAACUUUUUGGCUCCUUCUGUUCCUUUUAUCUAUGUAUCUGUCUUUCUUUGGUAAUAAUUAAAACAAACAAACUGGAACUCCAAACUGAAAAUAACAAAGAAAAAUGCAUUCAUAUUCCCACCAUAAAAUGCCACAGUUUGGGACAUUAAAGAACAGACUUUGACUAAGUCGUUGAUUAGAAAAGGAAUUAAAAUGGCAUCACAAAAUCUUUUAAAGUGAAUGAUAAUGAAAACACUGUUAGUCAAAAUUCCUAGAUGCAGCUGACGUAGUACUUAGACUCUCAUAGCCUUCAGUUCCUAUAUCAGAAAACAAGAUAGUGGUUUUUGCCGAGUGAGGAAACUAUAGAUAUUUUUAAUUUCUUCUUUGUGCUGACCCACACUUUCUAGUUUUCUAAAGAAGCUGUUUUUGGUUUUGUUGACCUUCCCUGUUGUUUCUUCUGGACCAUUCUGGCCAGGAAGAACCCCCCCCCCCCCGCCCAUUCCCCAUAGGAGCUUCUGUGGGGUCAGCCUUGUGGGCUAUCCAAGAACUAUUCAUUCCACGUGGCUGAGAUUGUGUGUCUGCCUUCCCUGGGAUGGUCAGGGGCCAGGGUCUAUGCAGGGUCACCCAUGGGUCCCAGCAUUCAGCAGGCAGUUAAGACCUGCAGAGUGGGGGUCAGCCAAGGUGACGCUUGGGAAGCUGAGCAGGGCACCUGGCCACAGGACACGCGAGUCCCACUCUGGCUGCCAUUGGGAAUGAGGGGGCGAGCCCAGCACAGUGCCGCAGGGGCUGACUGCCUCACCCUGUACCCCUAAGUCCUGCUUGUCACCCCCAUGUGCCCAUCUCCUGCCCAGGAACUGCCCUUGUCUUCCUCCAGGUGGGAGGAGGGAAAAUCAGGGGCCCCUUGCCCCAACCACCCACCCCAUGGUUCCAUGGCACUGCCGGCUUGGCGGGUCCCACCGUGGCGGGCCUGGUCUCAGCUGCCGAAUGAAGCUGGAUGGGGCAGCACUGUCACUGCCCAGCCCCUGGGAGCCUGGGCAGGGCAUUAGGGCCGUCGCGCCCAGGAGCCAGGUGUUUGCUGUGUCCUGCCUGUGGGCCCACAGCCAGGGCGGGAGGGGGCCUGGCCCAGGCCCCAGGCCCUGGGUUGGAGAGGCCAAGCCGGCUCUGGAACCCUUUCCUCUGGGAGAAACAGCUCGGCCAGCACAGAGCACUUUGGGGAUCCAGGAGCAGCAGCAGGAAAGGUGAGCAGGGGUCGGACCCAGAGCAACCCCCGCCCCCCCCCCCGACCCCCAACAGGGGCUUUGAGCUCCAGGGCUUGCUGGCAUGUUCUGGGGAUGUGUCCUCAGCUGGUGGGGCCCUCUGGAGAGGACUCAGCCUGGAGGAGUGCAGAGAGAGCCUGUGUGGGCGCUCUGCCCUGCGGCCCCACCCCUGCCUGCAGGACCCUGUCCCCCGAAGCAUCCUGUGCUGCUCUGGAACGUACACCUUGCCGGGCAUGGCCUGCCCGGGGCCCUGGCCAUACCCCACGAUCACAGGGUGGCCGCCUCAUGCCUGUGCCCUGGGCCAGCCGGGGGCCCCAAAGUCAGAGUGUGUGGCCUCCACGUAAGCCAAGAGGGGUGGGGGCACAACGCUGCAGGGCGGAGGGGAUAUCAGGGCCGAGCCGGGGCCUGGACAUCACCAGCACCCUUCAAAGACCCGCCCCCACCCCCCACCCCGCCUCUUUGCCCUACAGACACUGCUGAGCCGGGUGGGCACUGGGGACCCGAUGGGGGCAGGAAGGGCAGGUUCUUGCCCGCAGGAAGUUUCCCACCGGCACCUUCCAGAGUCGGUCCUCCGGGGCUGGACUUACCGCAAUGCCGCUUAUGACCGUCGGGCCACGUGGCCAGAAGUGGGAUCUGGGUGCCUGGGGCUGUACGCACACCCCAGUAUCGUACCUUCGAGGCACUGAGUGGGGAGGUGCUACGGUCCCCGUGUCAAAGCAGAGCAUGGCGAGGCUCAGGGUGCCCCCGACCUGCCCGGGGCACCGUGGGGUGAGCCGGUGGGAGCCUGCCGCAGGGUUCAGACAGGUGAUAUGGCAGUGAGUGCUCCGAGCGCCCCGGUGAGUGCUCCCAGCAUCCGGGGAGGGGCAGCAGGGAGCCCCUCGAGACAGCCAUUUCCCCAAGCGGCUGUGUUCCCUCCCCAUUGUGGAGGGAGAGUCCCACCUGCUGGGCCCCCACCCCCACCGAGGUGUCCCCUCUCUCUCCUGUAUCUGCCCUUCCCCACAGCAGCAGGACACACAGCCUCAUCUUCCCUCUCUCGGGCCCCCAGCCCCUCCAGCUGCCUCCGUUCGGUCCUUCCAGCCACGCGUCCCGGGCGCCAGCACUGUCCUCCCCCUCAUCCGCCCCCCACCCAGGCUCUGGAGUGAGCCUCCCCUUGCCUGGUGCUAUCUGCCCUCUGCCUGUCACCUGCCCCUUGCCCGCCAGGGGCCCUGUCACUUAGCAGCGAGUGGUGAGUAGACAGACUCUCAUUAAAUCCUGGUGAACCGACUGACCAGCUGACAGAGGUCCGAGGAGGCACGUUGCCUCAGGCCCAGCCACUGGUCUGGCCAGGUGUCCCCAGAUGCUUCCUCUUGUCUGACAGGCACCGCCCUAAUGGCCCCCAAACUGCGGGGGCCCUAAGACCUCUACCUCUCUGGGCCCGAGGUAGCCUCUCCAGGAGACAGAGAGGCCAGGUUGAGUUAGGGUUCGAACCUACUGCAGAGGAGGUGAGAGGACGCCGCACACCCCAGAGAGACUCGAUUUCUUGGAACGCACACCCUUCGGGUUUGCUAUUUUUACCCGCCCCAGCCUUCCGGUCUCCAUGGCGACGCCUCCAAACAGCAGAUUCCAGGCGGCAAUGACGUCACCUUUCCCCUUCCUGCCGCCCAGGCCUCCGGGCGCUGCCGGGCCGACCCCGUCGCGCGCCCCCCUGCGCCCCGGCCGGGCCCCCACCCCCCUCCCCUCCCCCGGCCGUGGGGUCCCCCGCGCCCCCGCGCCCCUGCCCGCCCGCCGGCGGGGCCUUGGGGGGCCGCGCGGCCCGUCCCCGCGGGGCGGCUGUGCUGGAGCCCCCGUGGCAGAGGGCACGGGCCCAGGGCGGCCCUCCCUCCCGCUCCGGGAUCCCUGCCAUGCGGGCCGCCCUGUGGGAGCUGCGCGGGCCCUCGCGGCCGGGGAGGCAGGGGCAGGCCGGCGCCAGGCCUCGCUGGCUGCGGGGGUAGCAGCCCGUCUGGCCUGGGAAGCCCCUGCCGCUCCCUCGUCGGAAACCGGUGACCUACGGCAGAGGGGCUCCGAGGUGGCGGGAGAGCCGCAGGGGCCCGUGGCCUGGUCGUUUGAGCCCCUGCCGCUGUGCCCCUGGGCGUCCGAACCCCCUCCCGCAUGGUGGCAGUCCUGCCCGGGCCUGUCGUGGGCCAUGCGCUGCACACCUGGGUCCUGAUCGGCAGUGGAGCCGUGCGGCCUCUGCUCCUGGGCCCGGGUCUCCCACCGGGGGUCAACCGCCGCGGCCGUGUGGGCCAACACUUUACCCGGCUGUCCCUGUAACGCCCAGCCUGAGCUCAGUCCUCGGCGCAAACCAAGCACAAGGACACUUGGGGCUGGAGGGCCAGCCAUGUGCGACUGGGGUCGGGUGGGAGCGUGGGCUACCCGGGUCACCGCCCCCCACCUCCCGUGAAACACCCUCCCCUUCCCCCCUCCGGGUGCUAGCGCCACACUGUGGACUCACUUUCUCCACAGUGGUUGAGGAGUCUCCUCGGUGGCUCGUGGGGUGGGAAGCGCCGCGUGGGGUGGGGGCACCACACCCCUGCUGUGGCCUGCUGGGGUGCGGGGGUGCUGGGGGGCCCCCCACCCCCACCCCAAAGCAGGGCCCGCCCCUCCCCAGCAGCCCAAGGGGCGGAGACAAAAUAACCCCCGGCCCCACCCCCAGCAGCCUCCCCCACCCAAAGCAGAAGCUGGGCCUGAGGUUCAGAGAGGGGAGCGGGACAGGCAGGGCAGAGGCGGCACCGCGGGGGGGUGGGGGCCGGUCGGAGAGUCGGGGCCACGCUGCAUCGGGCCAGCGUCCAGAAGGGCAAAGAAGGCGCUUAUGGCAGCUACACCGUCGGCUGCGGUCUCUGCUCCCAGAAACGGUAUUGAAACAAGGUGGUUUCGAGGCUCACAUUCCUGCCCUCCUGCUCGAUGUGAGGUACGAAGCCCCAACUCGCCCCUGUCUGACGUGGGCAGGCGCGCUCGCAGGCCCGGGCACGAGGCAGGCAGGUGGGCCGCCCGUCUCCAGAGCCCCGCACGGACGCAUUCACAGAAAGGUGUGCAGAGAAGCAGCCAGCCCUGCAGGUGGGCCUCGUGACCCCUGCGAGCCUGUCUGUCCUCAGGCUGUGUCCCAGGGGCCCUGCCCGUGCUGGGGGCCCCAGGCAGGCGGCCGGGCCCCCUGGAGUGGGGGUGGCUCUAGCCGGAGGUGGACGGGGCUGUCCACUUAAGCACCAACUCCAGCGGGCUCUGUCCAGGCAGAAGACAGGAAGGGGUCACUGGGUCUGGGGAGCUGUUGGACACUGAGGGGCCCGAGAGCAGGCUUCGUGGGAAGGGUGUGAAAUUUGAGGACAAACAGCUCGUGGCCCCGCAGCAAGCGGAGUCUGGGCACCCCCGGCACCCGCGGGCAGCCCUCUCCGUCUGCCCUUCUGCCUCGCGCUCUUUACGUAACAACGCAGGCUCCUGGGACCACCACUGCCCCUACCCUUUCCUCCCGACUUGACCGUUUGGGCUCCUGCCAGGCCCCACGCGAGGCCCCUGGUCUGAGCUCCGGUCAGCCAGACGUGUCCUGCCCAGGCUGAGAUCCAGGAGGAGGUCAGGGGGCUCUGGCCCUGAGGGGCGGUGGUGUCCACGGGGGAGACCCCAUGCCAGGCAUGAAUGUGGAAUCGAUUUCUUCCACCAAGUUGAUCAAGGACCUGUAUUUACUGAGAGAUGAGCAGGAAAAAGUUCUUGUUCUCAAGUGCUUACGGUUUCAUGAGAGACAAUGAAAAAUUAAAUUUCCAUAUGUUUUAUACGAGAUGGGGACACGCAGUCCUACAAAGAGUAGACCAGAGUGAGGUAGAUGGGAUGCUGAGGGGGCUCCUUAUGAAGUCCAUUUCAACAAAGCCCUAAAAUGGGUAAGGAAUGAGCAUUCUGGGUGGAGAACAGCAGGUGCAAAGGCCCUGAGGCAGCAGUUCUGGUCAGGGUCCACGUGUUGGGGGGAGGGUGGUGAAGUAAGGAGGAGGGAGAGGUGCGGGAGGGUGGGCAGAUGACACUGAGCCUGCUGUUCACCCCCAGCAUUGCUCCCCCAGGGACAGGGUCCUAGGGGGUACUGUGUCGAGCCUGAGAGCCCCCCCCCCAUCUCUGUCACUGACAGGCUGGGGCAGAACAGCUUCCGGGUGGGGCGAAGGGAAGGGAAGUUCGGCAAACAGCACCCCCUGCCUCCGCUUUGCUGCUGGAAACACUGGGGACUGGAUACGGACAAUAGAUUCCGAGUGGCCGAGGCUACUUUUCUGAAUGCUGUGUCCCCAGGCUGGAGUAACAGCCAAGAGGAAGUCCCUCGCCUGGCCCUGGCCAGGCCCCUCCGUGGUCCCUGGGCAGCCCCUCCCCACCCUGCCCAGGGACCCCCUGCCUGCUGCCCUGCCCGUGACUUUAGGAGUUGGCCAUGGGGCCGGAGGGCCUGGGUACGGGGUGCAGGCUGCCUGGCCCGCCCCCCCCAGAGCCACCUCCCACAGCCCCACGGACACGGCAGGGAAGGUCCUGCGGCCACGGGCCUGGCAUUGGCCUCUGCCCAGCACCUUCCACAGACCGCCCCACCUCCAGGCCGAGCGCUGCCCAGAGGCUCUCAUCUCCGUGAGUAAUGUUUAACUUGGAAGGGCUGCCGGGGAGAGGUUAACAAGUUUGGAUUGGGAUCUGCCUGCAGGAGGGGGAGAGGGAGAGGGGAGGGGGAGAGGGCAAAGUUGAGAGGGAGGAAGGGGGGCAGGAGGCGGGGCUGCGGGGCCGGCUCUCACGGGGGGGGGGGGGGGGGCAGGGCUUGAAGGGCCCCUCCCUGGGAUCUCCCCCCUGCCAGCUGGGCCCUGCCAGCGACUCCUCCCCGGGGAGGGGGGGCUUUGAGGCUGAAGACACACCCUGGGCAGCGGGCUGAGCCUCUCUGGGCUCGGUCUCCCCCACGGGAACCCCGCGGUCAAAGCUCUGGGGGAGAGAGAGCACGAGGAGUGCACACACACACACACACGGGCCCGUGCACACGCACCAACACACGCUCAGGAACAUGGGCUGUGGGCGGAAGGGCCCCCUGCAGAGCCAAGGCUUCCCCGCGAGGGACCCAAGGAGCAAGGAUGAAGCCUGGCCGGGGUGGGGGUGCCGGGCAGCAGGAACACCGAGCUCCUGUCCUGCCCCCUCCGGCUCCGGUGUCCAUCGGCCACACCUGAGAAGGCCGAGGGGCGCUGGGGAGGACUCCACUCCAAGCGACCAAGGGGAGAGGCCUUCUGUUCCACCCUGUGUCAGGGACGGGCCACCCCGGGCCGCCAUGCUAGGCGGGGUCUGCCCGACUCCCCCACCAGGACCCUGCCCGGGCUGGAGCUCCCUCACACCAGGCAGAGCGCCCCCCCCCACCCCCCCUUCAGCAUCUGUAAGACAACGGAUGCCUUUUCACGAAGAUGGCUCUUCAGGGAAAAUGCACCCCUCUCCAACCUCGGGUAGUUUUUCCCGACCGGCUUUACCCCUGGGGGGCCCAAACACCUGCUCUUGGGGAAGGGCCUACCCUGGCUGGUUGGGCCCCCCGGCACCAGGUGGAGCAGGGGUCUCACCCUCACGGAGUAACAGCAGUUGAUGGAAGAUGCUGGAAGGGAGUCCCUUUCCCGCCUCGGCCAGCCCGCCAGCCAGCCGCUGUUGUUUCUCUAAAGAUAAACUGUUUCACUUUGAACUUCCUCCUUGAGAAUUCUGAAUUCUGACCUGUCUUGUGAGCUUGGCAAAGGGCCUGGACAGAGUAAGGAUAUUCCCCCCCUCCCCCGGUGUGCGUGUGAUUGCACAUCAGAGCCUGGGUCUCAGGGCGCCCUCCCCCCAAGUGGUGGAGCCUGGGUCUCGGGGCGCCCCCCGCCCGAGUGGUAGCUGGCAGGGCACCUGGAACCCAGCUGGCGCUCUGCGGUCGGUGUAUUUGCAUCCCCUAAAAUUCAAGGUUUCACCUUGAAACCUAAGCCCCCACUAGAGAAGUGAGGACUGUGGGAGGCGAGUAGCUUACAAGGGGGAAGCCCCAUGAUGGGAUCAGUGCCCUCGAGAGGGGACCCCAGAGAGCUCCCUCGCCCCUUCUUCCGGGUGAGGACACAGCAAGAAGUCGGUCAUCUGUGACCCAGAAGAGGGUCCUCAGCAGACCCCGGAUCUCAGCCUUGCAGCCCCCGGUCUGCGGUAAUCUGUGAGCAGCCCAGGCGGACUGAGACAGCGGGCGUCAGCACCCCUGCCGGGGCGUGCUGGCUCCCAGGCCAGGCUGGGGAGGAAUGGAGAGGCUGAGGCCAGAGGGACCCUCGCUUUCCCCGGAGGAGGGCGUUCUCAGGGCCCAGGCCCGCCCCCAGCUGGGGUACAGAAGGCCCGGGUGGGGUGACGAAUCUCCGGGGUUUCUCCCACCCUUAGCAGUGUGUCCAAGCACGUUGAUAGGGGAUUUGGGGACAGUCAGGAGCCCGUCGCUGGAGCCUGCAGCCUCAUGUGGCAGGAAAUGCCCAGAGUGGAGACCACAGGCUCCUCAGGCUCCUCAGGGCCCUGCCCCCCAGUCCACGGUGCUGCCCACCACACGUGGCCCCCGAGCACUCACUCUGUGGCCAACGGGCCCUGCACUUGGUUCCAGACAUCUAGCGUGACCAGAGAACAUGUGACAACACGCUCAUCACUGACCUGGGAGGAGGGGCCGACAGGGGGACAAAGGCCGCGAUGGCAAGGGCAGGUCUGAGGAUGGGCGCAUCAGGGACAACUGACCAGCAGAGAGAGGACAGUGCCUGCAGGUGACAGCAGGGGACGCCGGCGGAGGUGGCGUGGCCCAGGUCUGUCUCACAGGACUCCGUGCUGCGGGGCAUCACCACCACUUGAGUACAGGUCCCUCACCAGCUGUCUCCGGAAGCCCCGGCCCGUGGGGACAAGGGCAGCUGGAACCCACCCCGGCUGUCCCUCUGCCACGUGCCCACCAACUCCAGGCCACUCUGGGUGGUCAGGGGGCCUGGGGCUGUGGCCCUCAGGGAAGGCUGCCCAGCAGUGGCAGGCAUCUGGGGCCUCUCUUUGUCCCCAGGGGGCCCCUGUGGCCUGAAGUCCUGGCAGAUCUUCCCUCCCUGUCCACAUGGCUUGGUGGCUUUUUCUUUGUACUGUCUGCCCC